UACAGAGGGGGCAAGCGUUGUUCGGAAUUACUGGGCGUAAAGGGCGCGUAGGCGGCUUGCUAAGUCACACGUGAAAUCCCUCAGCUUAACUGGGGAACUGCGUGUGAAACUGGCGAGCUUGAGGGUAGGAGAGGAAUGCGGAAUUCCAGGUGUAGCGGUGAAAUGCGUAGAUAUCUGGAGGAACACCGGUGGCGAAGGCGGCAUUCUGGACUAUUUCUGACACUGAUGAACGAAAGCCAGGGGAGCAAACGGG
rnacentral:rRNA from 1 species